UGCAUGGAUUUUCACUAUAAAUAGAUUUUUGCUGGCAGUUCUCAGUUAAUCGUCAGUGAAAAGAUUUAUUUUUAUUAGCUCCUAACGCUGACGGAUUUAAGAAAUGAUUAUAGAAAUAAGUUUGAAAUUGAUUGUACGUAGCUUCAUUAUACCAGUGUGCUGGGUUGCCCCCAUUCAUCUUCAUGGUGCACGCCCCACCAUAGGCAAUCGGUCGAGAACUAGCUAUCCAACGUCGUUGGUGUCGAUGAUGAUGGAACGGCAACGGAUUUAAUUACUAGAUUUGCCUAUAUCAGAGCACGUUGAGAAUAAUAAAAGUACAAAGGUCUAGGUGCAAAAUAUUUAUUCUAUUAGUUUAUUUUUUCUUUUAUUUUUUAAAUCGGCUGAAAAUUGAUAAAUACGUAGUAAUUCAUAGAAAAAUCUAAAAAUUACAAAACAAAUUUUGUACAGCUCCACAUAUUUAGAUCCAUGCAGUAAACAAAAAAUAUCAUAAAUUUUAGUAUAUUUUUUUGCUGGAGAAGCUUGCAUAUGCUUUUUAGUGUAAAAUUGAAAGUGUAGUUAUCGUGCUCCAAUUAUUAUGAAAAUUUUAUGGUAGCCUAUUUAAUGUGAUGCUUGAUUUGUGGUAAAAGUUUUAGCACCAUUACUUAAUAUCUCACUGAUUUACUAAUUUACCUAGAUUUAUGCUUGCUAAAUAGUUUACAAUUAAUUUAAGUAUAUAAAAAUAAAAAAAUGCUUCCACUACCUUUGCACGAUGGGUUGUUAUGUCAUAUGAACACUCAUGUAUUCAUAAUCUACAUACAUUUAACUGAU
rnacentral:lncRNA from 1 species